CUAAACAUAUUUUAUUGACAUUACAAGGUUUUUAUUGAUAUAAGUUUUAUAUGAAGUUCAUAAUAAUUCAAACGACUUAGAUAGAUUUUACUUUUGUGGUGUCAAAAUGACACCAAAAGUCGGAAAAGGGAGUUUUUUUGUCCAGGCUUCCAGGGUUCGUCCAUAAAAAAAAGUAAAGAUGCAAUAUUGAAGAACUUUUGAAUUCAUUUAGGGUCCCCUAAGAAAUUUUUGUAUUUUGAAGCUUCUGAAAAAAGUUACAAGCCUUCAAACUUGCAAUGGUGUCAAAAUGACACCCUAAUGCGGAUGAGGGUAAAGGAGAAGACAGCAUCCGAGCGCUCGCUGAAUUUACGGUGUGUUUUUUGUUUCAAAAAGCGCAUUUUUUAAAACCAAAAGACAUAGGGUAAAUGAUCUUGAGCGGAACUAAAAGGCUCUAUUCGACGCAACUCGGAACAGUUGAUCGAGCGGUAUGGAUAGGGAUUAUAUCCGAACGAAUUUUUUUAGUUGUUCAGCGGAUGGAUCUUGGUUUCUGCUUUCGAUGAUUUGUAGAAUAUUAUAGAGUAAAUCCUAGUAACUAUUAAGAUAUAUUGACAGUUCUUUACGCACUACUUUACCAAAAGGCCUCAGCCAUAACCUCUAAACAAGAAUUAAACGAUUAAUUUCAUCAAAAGGGCGUACCCAAAACGCGAUUUUCCUAACACAAAAUACCCGUUUUCGCCCCUUCGAUAAACCGGUAGAGUUUUCAAUGUUUUCAUUUUUAAUACUACCUAGUGCCACACGCAGCGAAAAGUAGUACCAUUGAAAUUAAAAAUACACAUCUUUGAUUCAAAAACCUUGUGUACAUAGAAACAAAAUCCAAUUUCCUUGAUUUGGGUAAAUUUUAUAUUGAACCGAACUAUUUUUCGUUUAAAGCAAAGUUCCAAGUUUUAAAAUCAAAAUAUUAAAUUUGAAUUCAAAGAAUUUAUUUUUUGACGCAGAAUCAAUGUAAAAAUUCAUUGAUUUAGAUGGUUUUUUUUUUGAAUCAAAGUAUUUUUUCGUCAAAUAGUCGACAUAACUUCUGUUUGGCGGAAAAGUUUUUCCAACAACCAGUCAGACCUAUUUAUUUCAGCGGAAUCUUCCUGCCGGGCAACCCCAGACAGCACGGUGAGAUCCGGCGUAGGAAAGUUUCGACAGCUAUGAAAGGGCAAACGAUAGUGGGCUCCAAGGGCAAUCUUUCAUCCAACCAAUUUGAAGAGGUAACUGUACUGACUAUUCCAGUCCUCCGGCUAAGCGGUUGCAAUCGGUUCCGAUCCGGUCUAAGGAGACACGACGGCUGGCGCCUGAACCCUUUGGUCGAAAGCAACUGUCCACCAACAAAUAUCGUUCAAUGAACCGGUUUAAAAAUUCAAACAAGGGAAGAUCGAUUAUGUGAAGUGGAGAAAGGUAGAACAUCUACUUAUAGAGAAAAAAAACUUACAGAGAAAUAAAAUAUUUUAAAGCAUAAUUUGAUUUCUUUUUAUUUCCAAUAGGACGAAAAUUAAUAAGUAGUACUAGAAUUUUUGGGAACAAAAAAUAGAAUUGAAGAACGAUUUUUUUAAAAUUGAAAUCCAAAUGCCGUUGAAUUAAAGGAAAAUUACAUUAAUUCAAAUGAAAAGGUUUUUGAAUCGAAAGCAUUUUGUUUUUUGGAACAAAGAAAAAGUUUUGAUUCAAAGGAAAGCAUUUCUUCGAAACAAAAGAAAAUGCAUUUGAAUCAAAGGCAUUUUUAUUUGUCCCAAAAUCAAAGGAAAAAAUCCUUUGUUUUUGCGGCACUUUCCUUUGAAACUAAUUUUUAUUUUUCUGCGUGCAGGAUAAAGAAUAUUUCAAUAUUCGUAAUGAUUUUUUUUUAAAUUUCCUCAGGCAAAUUUAACAAUGUUUUGAAAAGUCCUCUGCAUAUCUCAGUUCAAGUUAUGAAUUCAACGUACAAUGUAUAUAGGUAUGUAUGUUCGGUAGUGACUUCAUUCCUCAAAUCCGUAUUCUAUUUGUUGAGAUUUGUAAUUGUUACUUGUUUGCAAACAACCUGCAGCAAUUAAUUUGAAAUAUGCACAAACUUCUUGUAAUUUGUAGUGGUUGAACCGUAAUAUAAAACAUUUUCAGUUUAUAAAAUAAUAAAUUCAGUUUAUAAAAUUCGUAAAGUUGCAAACAAAUGAUAGUUGUAAUUUGAAUUGAGUUCGAGUUUGAGAAAUAAAAAGUGAGUAAAUAUUCAUUUCUGUCAAAACAAGCUGGCAACACUGAUGAGGCCAAAUUUAAACCAAGUUCCGAGCGAGAUUAUAGCUGAGGCCAACCAGCCAUGAAUACCAUCGACCGUAUAAGUUGGAACGGGGACCGGAAGGGAGCAAGAUUCGCGGAAACACACUACUUAACUCGCAAAACGGGACGAUUUCGGACGUGUAGAAGAGACGCGUGUUUUCUCUAUCGAUCUACUUUUAUUACUCUCACUCUUAACAAAGGUUACUCAGGGAUGGGUUAUCAUGGAGGCAAUGUGUAUAUAAUAUUUACCUAGGUAUGACAACUCUCCACCUUUUUAAAGAGAUUCUUAUACAAUGCAAAAAAAAAUACAGAUUGAGCCUCUGUGGUGCUCUCUUCUCUCUUGUAGAACGCCUCAACGGCUCGGAUACCACUGUUGGAACCUUUGGUAUCUGUGACUGGACUGGAUUCGGCGUUGACAUCUUCGAUUGCACGCCAACACUCCUUGAUUAUUCAUCGAAACCGUUGGUGAUGGAAGCUCUGGCCCGGCCUCCAAUUGUCCCGGCGUCCGCACUAGUAGCACCUCUGUCUGGGUACACCACAGUACUAGCGCUACUAUUCGUUGGUAGAGGAAUGAAGGAUUGAUUGCUGUUCGGAUCGGAUCCAACACCAGCAAUAUGGUCGACGUGACAUUCCCAAAGUCGGCCAUCUUCAAGGCGUACCGCAUAUCGCAAUUUUCCGACUUUAGACAAUAUUCUGCCAAACUGCCACUUGUUGCUCGACAAGAAAUCCCGAACACGCACACGAUCACCAUCAGUAAAUGUGCGCAAGACGAGGUCGGGAGACUCUUCCUUGGUGUCGAAGGAUGGAUUAUUUUCCGGUAGGUCAGGAGAAUGUUGGCAAGUUCUACAUUCAGCUUGGACUUGAGGCACUUCAACGCUUUGAGCUUUUGUUUGAACGUCUGCACAUAUCUUUCGGCCUGGCCGUUUGUGGCUGGAUGAUACGAUUCAGCGGUAAAUUGAACUCCAUGGCCACUGACAAAAAUUGCUGGAAUGCCGUAGGUAGCAAAUAUUUCACGGCACCUUGUUUAGGUAGCUUCAGCGGUAAUAGAACGACACACACGUAUUUCGGGCCACUUCGGAUAGGAAUCGACUAAGAUGAAGAAGUACGAAUCCAUAAACGGCCCAGCAAAGUCGGCAUGCACUCUCUGGAAGGGUCAGUAGCAGGCUCCCAGAAGUGCGACUUCAGUUUCGUCGGUUCGAUGCGUACUGAUUGGCAAUCAGUGCAGUUGGCUACCAUAUCCUCAAUCUCCUUAUCCAUUCCUGCCCACCAGCAAUAGCCUCUCGCAAGGGACUUGGUUCUUGAAACUCCAAAGUGGGUGGAGUGAAACUCUUCAAGAAUGCGCUUCCGCAACACUGGGGGAACGAACACGUAUUCCCCGCAACAGGCAACCCCGCUGGACCGAGAAUUCGGUUUGUUCGAUACCAAAACGAUCCUUUCCAUCCACUUGUUGUCCGUAUUUCAACCCUUGUAUCAUAACUUUGACAGCAUUGUCGUUCGACGUUGCUUGGGACAACUCCGUAGCAGUUAGCGGAAGUGUUUCUAUUUGGUGAACUUCCACAACAUGAGACUCCUCGAUGAAGCGAACUUGGUAGUCGAAGGAUUGGAGGAACGUAGCGCAGUGCUGCAUGCGCAACGCUGACAUCACAGGCAGCCCCUUAUGUUCGCCGAACAUUUUUGAAAUUGCCUGGUUGUCCGUCAGUAAACUUGCGGCCGUACAAGUAUUGAAAAAACUUUUUCACGCCAAAGAUUAUCGCAUACGCUUCUUUGUCAACUUGCAUAUACUUUUGUCGAGUACUGUUUAGCGUUUGUUACGCAAAUUGGAUUGGUCGUUCACUGCCAUUCGGGUACACAUGGCUCAAGACGGCACCCACGCCGUAAGGGGAUGCGUCUGUAACUAGAACCAAGGGCAAUUCCGGCGAGUAAUGCACCAAACAGUUGUUCGAUUGCAAAUACUGCUUAACUCGACGAAAGGCAUUCUCGCAUUCUCUAUUCCACUCAAACGCAACGCUAUCUUUGAGUAGGUUAUCCAGGAAGUAAAUAACAGUGCUCAAAUUUUCAAUAUAGCGACCAUAAUAAUUUACAAGGCCUAUAAACGAUCGCACUUCAUCCUUAUUUCUCGGUCGGGCAUGUCCCGGAUAGCUUCCAUUUUAUUCAUCAGCUUAUGGAUGCCAUCGCGAUCGAUCAAGUAUCCGCAAUAUUCGAUUUCAUUGGCAAAAAAUUCGCACUCACCCUUGUUUACCCGUACAUUAUGGUCAUUCAAGAGGCGCAGAACCUCCUGCAAUCGCUGCAGAUGCACUUUGUCAUUGGACCCGGUGAUUUUGAUGCCGUCCAAGUACACCGAAACGGCUUCGAUUCCUUGAAGAAUAACCUCGAUUUGCCGUUGCCAAAUCGCCGGCGCUGAGGCUACUCCAUACAUCAAGCGGUUAGGGCGGUACAAACCGCGAUGUGUAUUCAAGGUAAGAAUGCAGCGAUCCACCGUUAUACAAAUUUUCACGACAAUCUAACCGACAAAAAAAACACUUCUGCAUAUGGGAAAACACGCCAGCUAGUUUCCACCCUGAACAAAAUCGGGCUAUGAGGUUUAUUGGGAAUUUUAGUAAUUUUGCUCUAAAAGAAAAUCCAAUACUUUUUAUCAGGAGACGAAGGAUUCAUUUUAUCGGAAUUUUCAAUGAAUAUAAUAAUAAACCAAAUUGAUACAAUUUAUUGUUUUCGAUAAUGAAAUGAAUGGUUCUAUGAUUGCCAUUUUAUAUGCUUUUGUUUUUUAAAUGAUUUUAAUAUUUUCUCGGGUAUUGAUAAGUCAUUUUAAAGAAAUUAAUACAUUUAUUGAUUUUUUUUCCACAGAAUUUCUUCAUAAUAUUAUUUAGAAAAAAAACUGCUUUCUGAUUCUGGUUGUUCUGACCCGGUAUGUAUAAAAUCCCGAGUUCCGCCGGCCUCUCGAUGCAACAUUUCAGUUCCGUUUUCCUGUUCAGUUUGCUUGAUCAUGGAAGGUGAUGGUAUUUCACUUCCCCAGAACUUUGAUGUCGUACGACUUAACCACCGCAUUCUGCGACUGCAAUUACAAAAGAUCUGGUUGAAAAAUGUAUAAGUCCAAUUAAUUAAACAUCAACUUACGGGGCAUGGUGUGUCUUUUUCCAAAAGUGUCUUGCUGGGGGAGGAUGAAAUUUCGGAGCGCCUCGUCGUACUGUUCGCAAACAAAAAAAACCCAGGCCAGUAGCAGGCGUCAUGUACGUUUAACAUUUCCUUUGACCGAGUUCAGAUACCGUUAGGCAUGGCGUUGGCACAACUGGCAACCUUGGUACGGGAUCGGACAAACGUCAACGCGUUGGCGCCGAAAAGGAAUUGUCAUUGUUAGAAAAUUGAUCAAAACUGCGACACGUUUUUUCUUGACCUGGCAGUUAGUUAGUUUUUAGUGAAUAGUUUUUAGAGAAAGCCGUAUGUAUUGAUUACUAUAGUUGUUCCGCUCAUCCUUUAAAGUAUUUUUUAUAGUAGGUGGAAGCUAUUUGGAAAGUUGCGCGUGAUUUGAGUGCUCGCGGGUUUGUGAGUCGGAAGAGGUUGGGUUAUAGAAAUUCCUUACUGCGCAAUUUGCCACUAAAAUAUUGUAUUUCCUUUAAUAGUUUGAGUGACCGUUCGGUUGUUCCGGUUAGGUGUACCGGGUUGAGCUCAAUUAGAGCGGUAGGAAAGAAAAAGCGUAAGUACGCAAGUGUACUUUUCAAUUACCCGAAGAUAAAUAUGAUUUUCGUCCAUUAGCUUCAAAUAGCCGGUGAUAUCCGACGGUUUAGGGUUGCCAGAGCUAGAGCUUAGGGUAAACGGCGAAACUUAUUUGUAAGUUCAUUAGAGAUUGUUUACAUUAUCAUCAUUUAAUAAUAAAUGUAUUUACAGUCGAGUUCGUUCGCAUACAACGUACUACGGAACAGUUUUUAUUUCCCAUAAAUCUCGAAAAUAAAGCUGCAACGAGCAACCUAAACCUGGAACCGAUGAUGGAAGGCCCUACCCGAGAGCUGUUCAACUGCGUGACAUGUCGCCGCCCGGAUUCAGCGCAGAGCAUGGUCGCUUGUGACGAGUGUUCGCAAUGGCAACAUUAUGGAUGCGCCGGUGUUACGGCUACCAUAGCCGAUCGAAGCUGGCUCUGCUGCAGAUGCGUAGCUAGUCACAACGCAGUUAAUUCGACUCAAACCGGCAACAUAAACUCGCCCGAAGCACACACAACGUUUGCUUCAGCUCGCGCCGCUGAACGUCAUGAUAAUACCACCGGUCCAAUAAGAGGGAGACAGGACGAUCCAAAUUUCGGAAGACUUCAAUCCUCGUCUAAUUCGAAUGCCGGAUCAGUCGUCUCAGUCAAUGCUAUUGCUCAUCUUCGUUUAAGGCACCUGAAAGAGCAAAAGGAUUUGGAGGAUCAAAAAGCGGAACGGGAUCGCGAGUUUCUUGCUAGAAAGCAGCAGCUAGAAGCGGAAAUAGCUUUGGAAGAGCUCAGUGAAGGAUGUGAUCGUAGCGUAGGAGGAAAAAGUCAUCGAAGUAUCGCCGGUUGGGUGGAACAACAAUGCGGAUUCGUGCAUACUUCUACCCCAGUCCAGCAGAAACCCGAGACAGUGGCUCCAAGUGCGAACCCACAUCCCGCCAUCCAACAGCGAGAGGAGCGGCAAAGAAUACAAGCUGUAAUUCAAUCAGGUCAACAGAUUCAACCAAGCACUGCGCCAAAACAAGCAGAGAUUCCAGUGAGAAAUCCUCCCCCAGCUAUAGUACCGGGCCCAAGGAGCAAUUAUCUUGAUUCGAAUCCAUGUUUUCCGCCAGUGGCUCAGAAUCCAGUUCCACCUGUACCAGUGAAUCCGCUAAUAUUGCCACCGCCGAGCUCGUCGCAGUUCCCUGGAUUUCCAGUGAUGAAUAACCCCUACGGGGCGAUGUAUUUUCCGAAUAUUCCUGACAUGCCGUCAUCUGGUGCUGAUUAUCAGUUUGCGCACCCUCAGGGAGGAGUCUUUAUCAACAACCCAGUCAGGCAUCCGAACUUUGGUUUGAAUGUACAGCCGUGUGCUUGGCAAGCAUCCGAGCAGCACCCGCCUACAGUUCCACCAACAGUGUCAGCAGAUUUGGGUAAAGGAUUUCCUCAUGCUACAGGUCGCAUGAUUACGCCACAGCAACUGGCGGCGCGUCAAGUUGUCUCCAGAGACCUCCCCAAGUUUUCCGGGGACCCACUCGAGUGGCCCAUGUUCUUUAGUGCAUUUGAAUCGACAACGGCCAUGUGUGGCAUACAACCCGACGAGAACCUCGCUAGGCUACAGAAAAGUCUAAUUGGUAGCGCUCGUGAAAAGGUUCAGAAUAUUUUAACGCUGCCGGAUGCAAUUCCGGAAAUUAUUGACAUCCUACGAGCCGAGUGUGGAAGGCCAGAUCAAAUUGUAUAUUGUCUGCUAUCCAAGAUCCGGAAAACCGCUCAGCCAUCUGUGACGAAAUUGGAGACGCUUGUGACGUUUGGCAGGGAGGUACGCAACAUGGUGACGUACAUGCAGUCAGCGAAACUCAACACACAUUUGGACAAUCCACUCUUGCUGGCAGAGCUGGUCGCUAAGCUUCCACCCGACUUGCAGCUACAAUGGGGUAUGAACUUAGCAGCUCUUCCUGAACCGUCGCUUGGUGAUUUCUGUACGUUUGUGUCGGCUUAUCGAACAGCGGCAUGCAAGGUGAAAUUGACGUCGGAUGUUGGUCUGAAUGAAAAAGCCACAAAAGGUGUUGUGAGAAAGGAGAAGCCAGUUUAUUUGAACGCACAUUCAGCCUCCGUGUCCUCAGCGCCUGGACCACCGGCUUCGAAAGUUAAUCCGGAGCUAAAGCCGUGCCUGAUGUGCAAAAGUACAACGCACAGAGUCCGAACUUGUAAGCAGUUCGAAACGUUGCCGCUCGAAGAGAAGCUGAGGUUCAUCAGUGAAACGGGAAUGUGUAGGCGUUGUCUGGCGCCGCAUGGAAGGUGGCCUUGCCGAAACAAGCAGCCUUGCGGAAUCAAUGGAUGCCCUGAGCCCCACCAUAAACUGUUACAUCCAGGAAGUUGUUCGACUCUCAAGAGUCAAGGAUCGGAAUCUUCUGUAUCGGUAACCGCCCAUCAUCAACACCAGCAAGGCACCACAUUCUUCAAAAUACUUCCGGUGACUCUUCACGCGAACGGGAAGUCGGUGUCCACAUUUGCUUUUCUGGACGACGGAUCCGACCUGACGCUGGUCGAAGACGAACUUAUCGACGAACUGGGCUUGGUGGGCGAAAGAAUUCCGCUUUGCUUGCAGUGGACUAGUAACGUCACGAGAAGUGAGAGUAACUCUCGUAAGGUCGAGAUAGGUAUCUCAGGUGCAUCGAACAAUCGCAUCCAUCAGCUGGCGAACGUAAGAACCGUUGAGAGCUUGGAAUUACCGAAGCAGAGCCUGGAUUAUGAGAGUCUCUCGAAGCAGUUCCCUCAUCUGAGUAGACUCCCCAUCAGCAGCUACCGGACGGCCGUGCCACGAAUUCUUAUCGGUGUCGACAAUGCCCAGCUCAACUUAGCUUUGAAGAAGAGGGAAAGAUCCGGAGGAGAACCUAUUGCUGCUAAAUUUCGCCUCGGAUGGGCAAUAUUCGGUGGAAGACGAGCACCUGAGACGAUAGGUAGUGCUUUCGUUCAUGUCUGCGAGAGAUCCAAUAGCCGCGAGCUCCAUGAACCGGUCCAGCAGUAUCUUGAAUUCGAAAACCUGGCGAUAUCCGGAUUGAAUCCACCCGAAUCCGACGAAGAUAGACGGGCCAGAAGAUUGCUCGAAAAGACGACAGUUCAUAUACCAUCCGGAAAGUUCCAAACUGGAUUGCUUUGGAAAAGCGAUGAGCCGGUUUUUCCGAACAAAUUUACCAAGGCAGUACGUCGACGCGGUUGUUUUGAAAAGCGCUUGCUGAAAGAUCCCGAACUGAAAACUAAUAUUGACAAACAAAUGAACGAUUGUCUACACAAGAGGUACGUUCACAAAGCAACGUCAGACGAGCUCCGCAACAGUGACGACGGAAAGAUUUGGCACCUGCCAAUCAGCGCAGUGCGACAUCCGAGCAAGUUAACAAAGGUGCGUGUAUUCUGGGAUGCUGCGGCUACGUAUGGAGGAAUCUUUCUGAGCUCCCAGCUUUUGAAAGGUCCGGAUUUGGUGAAGCCCCUUCUAUCUGUCCUCUGCCAAUUCCGACAGAAACAGUAUAUCAUCGCUGGGGACAUAAGGCAGUUGUUCCAGUUGAUUAUUCGUCCGGCAGAUAGAAACGCACAACGAUUUUUGUAUCAGGAGAAUUCAGAAGCUGCGCUCAACGUGUACAUGGACGUCGCAACGUUCGGGGCAACGUGCUCCCCGUGUUCAGCACAGUUUGCUAAGAAUGGAAACACCCAGGAAAAUAAAGAUCGUUAUCCGGAAGCUGCUAAAGCAAUUGUUGACAACACAUAUGUUGACGAUUUCCUUGCGAGCUGUGCCAUUGAAGAGGCAACGAAACUGGCUUUGGAAGUGAGUCUGGUCAACCGAUCAGCUGGUUUUGAGAUACCUAGUUGGCAGUCGCACUCCAAACACGUUCUGAAACGGGUUGGGGUGACUACUGGAGAUAAUUUUGUAGUUAACAUGGAAAAUUGCUCGCGGUGUGGUGGUCUACUCAACCGAAUUGCUAACCUGUAUCAUUUUGCGCACCGCUUUAAGCGCUUCAAACGGGAUCCUGUGGAAUCUAGUGAGUCCUGUGGUGGUCUGAAUCGUGAUGAUUAUGUGUCGGCGGACACAGCCAUUUGGCGAGCUGUGCAGCGACAGGUGUUUGCAGGAGAAAUUAAGGCGCUUAGAAGCAGUUCUGAGCCUUCAUCGAAGCAGUGGAAGCGUAUCGGCAAGGGAAGUGUCCUAGCGAAGCUAACGCCGAUGAUCGAUGAGUCCGGUGUUCUUCGGAUGGCGAGCGGAAUCGACCCUCAAGCGGCUCAUUAUUCGUUAGACGUGCGAAAUCCUGUGAUAGUACCAAAAGAUCAUAAUGUCAUCACUUCUUUGAUCCUGCGAUUUUACCAUGCCGAUAUCGAGACGGUGCUGAUCGAGUACAAGCUACGUUACUACAUUCCCCGGAUGAGAGCCAGUUCGGAGAAGGCGCACCAUCAAAGGCUAGACGAUGAAGGACUGCGAACAUUGCUCUCGGAAGCAAAAUUGAUAGUCAACUCCCAUUCGCUGACGUUCGUGCCGCUGGAGGAUCCCAAGGAAAAAGUGCUGACUCCAAAUCAUUUCCUUUGGCUAAGUUCCGGUGAAGACAGCAAACCACCAAGGGUACCAACCGACGACGCUGCGCCUCUUCGACCAAACUGGAAGGUUAUUCAACACUUAACAAACCAGUUUCGGAAGCGCUGGGUGCAAGCUUAUCUACCUACUAUAGCCUGCAGGACGAAAUGGUUAGCGGAAAUGCAGCCGCUGAAGGUCGGCGAUCUAGUGGUCAUCGUAGACGAGUCCGUGCGCAACGGAUGGCUUCGAGGUAAAGUGGUGAAGACUUAUCCAGGACGAGACGGACAAGUUCACAAGGUCGACGUGGAUACUCGCGACGGAUCUAUUCUUCAAAGACCAGCGGUAAAGGUUGCUCUGUUGGACGUGCAGGAGGAUAGUAAAGUCGAUUGACUACGACGUUACGGGUUGGGGUGUUGGCACAACUGGCAACCUUGGUACGGGAUCGGACAAACGUCAACGCGUUGGCGCCGAAAAGGAAUUGUCAUUGUUAGAAAAUUGAUCAAAACUGCGACACGUUUUUUCUUGACCUGGCAGUUAGUUAGUUUUUAGUGAAUAGUUUUUAGAGAAAGCCUAGGUGGAAGCUAUUUGGAAAGUUGCGCGUGAUUUGAGUGCUCGCGGGUUUGUGAGUCGGAAGAGGUUGGGUUAUAGAAAUUCCUUACUGCGCAAUUUGCCACUAAAAUAUUGUAUUUCCUUUAAUAGUUUGAGUGACCGUUCGGUUGUUCCGGUUAGGUGUACCGGGUUGAGCUCAAUUAGAGCGGUAGGAAAGAAAAAGCGUAAGUACGCAAGUGUACUUUUCAAUUACCCGAAGAUAAAUAUGAUUUUCGUCCAUUAGCUUCAAAUAGCCGGUGAUAUCCGACGGUUUAGGGUUGCCAGAGCUAGAGCUUAGGGUAAACGGCGAAACUUAUUUGUAAGUUCAUUAGAGAUUGUUUACAUUAUCAUCAUUUAAUAAUAAAUGUAUUUACAGUCGAGUUCGUUCGCAUACAACGUACUACGGAACAGUUUUUAUUUCCCAUACAUGGGUCAGCCCCCUUUGUUGUAUUUGUCCUCGAUGAGCGGAUAUUCCGGCUUGCCCUCUUCCAUUACGAAGUUUGCGAGAGGUUUCACAAUCUGGAAUUGGAUAAUCAUUUGAAAUGAAAAAAAUUAUAAACAGUUAUGGAAAAACUUACUGAAUAUGUGAUGCUUUUGUCGGCCGAUGCACUUUUUGCUUCUGGUUGUAUCAAAGUGUCUGCUGCUGUCCAUGAGUUUAGGAACCUCUUUAAGCUUUCUUUUGAGUUCUAAACACACAGGCUUUUCACCAUUUUAAACCAUUUCCGUAAAACUAAAAUGCAGAAAUUAAAAUUCCACAAUCAACACCAAUUUGCUUAGAAGUUAUUCGAAUACUAACUUACCAUCCUUAAUUAUUAUUUAUCUUGAGUUUUGAACAACAGUAGGGGCGAUAAUUUUGACAUUAUUCAAAUACUCAUGGCAAAAACAACCAAACUUGGCAUGGCGUAACAAUCCGUAACAAAGUAAGGGCAUACUAGCACGAAGCACAAAGAAUGCUAGUGGAAGUUAUUGGAUUGCUUUAAUGAAAUGCAUACUAAAUCAACCUUUUAGAUUUCAUUGGAAUUACUAAUGUUUUUCGCUGAGCUAAGCAUUUAACAAUGAUAAAUUAUAAAAACCUAUAGAAUUUAUUGGAUUUUUUGAUAGAUUCUACUGGUUUUAUCAAUAGCGUUUAAUAAACCCUGUGCAUUUAAAAUUAUUAGAUCAAUCUGAUAUAUUCUAUAGCCCGAUUCCGUUCAGUGCAACGUGUAAUGGCUCCUACACGCAAAAUAAUCUUCACGUAGUGACUACGUGAAAAACUACAUAAUUUUUUAUUCAAUUUAUUUUCGCGUAAAUGCUACGGAAUCAAUAAGCAAACACGUCCUCGUAAAUUUUUGUGAUUUCAACGCAGUGUGCUUAUGAAAGCUUCGGGGAAUGUUUUUAGUAUUGAAAUGAAAUGUAGGUCGAAUUUUUAUUUUUUUGUUGUUGUUUAUAAUGAUGAAAAUAAAACAAAAUUUCGUUGUAAACAAACUUAAUUUUCACAAUAUUUUGGCCUUACAAUAAACUUUGAUGGGCUUGUGAUAUAGCUCAGUUGGCAAGUCUGUUGCCUCCUGAGCAGAUGUCCGCGAGUUCGAGCCCAAGAGUAAACAUCGAACACAGUUGUACCGGAUAAGUUUUUCAAUAACGAUCCGCCAACUGUAACGUUGAUAAAAUCGCGAAUGCCAUAAUGAUGGUAAAACGACUAUAAUCGAAACAAAAAAAAAAAAAACUAAACUUUUACGACAAUAAAAACACUUUAAUUCUCGCAGUUCUAGCAACGCAGGGCGGUUUGUGAAAUUCUGAAAAAAUGGAAAAGUAUUCAGUAAUUAAAAAUGAAUGAUUCAAUUAAAAUACAAUUCUACCUUGUUCGUUGUUGCGUAUAUGAUGUUCUGUGUUCCGUGCUGCGGAAAGUCGUACCAAUCACCGGUAACCGGUACUCGGCACCAGUGCCGGAAGGGCACUUGCACCCAGAUCCAUCACUUGUUAUCAAAAUAUGGAAACACAAAUCAAUUUAUUACAAUUCAGAAUAAUCAAAAAGCCAAAGACACUUACCAAAAAUAAACAAAGCUAAAUAUAACCAUGCUUGUCAAUGCAGUUCCUCUUCCGGGGACACACAAAUUUUCCCAACAGCUGGCUGAAAAUUCUCUUUUUUAAUAAGAAUUUACAACCACCCGCUUGAGACAAAUGCACAAAACGGGUUUCGAUCAUCCACUUAGACUUUACGUGAAAUUCAUGUGUUAGUUAUGUGGAAGUAAAGUAGGUUUUAACAGGGCAUCCUUGAUACUUUGUGGUUACUACAGAACUCACAAAGAAUCGACAUGAUGCAACAAAAUCUAAAUUUACGUGAAAAAUCCCGUAGAAAUAAUUUUUUAGUUUUUUUGCGAAGUGACAAAAAUCUAAUUAAAUUAUUCAAUUUUGAAAUCAUCGUUUUUUAUUGACGUGUCUUAGAGGUUCACGGUCUUCGGCAAAGUUGUUCUUUGAAUCUUCAGCAAUGAGAUACAGCUUGAAGAAUUUGAGUUUAAUGCAACAGUGAGGCUGUUGGGUUUUUUUUAACAAUAAAAAUCACUUUUCCAUACUAAUUUCCUUACAAACUUUAAUUUUUCCCCAGCCUUUUUCAAAUCCUCGAGCCACCAAAAUAAGCACAGUUAUUAGGCCGGAACAAAUUUAAAAUCCUUCUUUUGUCACUCGGAGUUGGAACA